UGGGGAAUAUUGCACAAUGGGCGAAAGCCUGAUGCAGCAACGCCGCGUGAGUGAUGAAGGCCUUCGGGUUGUAAAGCUCUGUCUUUUGGGACGAUAAUGACGGUACCAAAGGAGGAAGCCACGGCUAACUACGUGCCAGCAGCCGCGGUAAUACGUAGGUGGCAAGCGUUGUCCGGAUUUACUGGGCGUAAAGGAUGCGUAGGCGGAUACUUAAGUCAGAUGUGAAAAUCCCGGGCUUAACUUGGGAACUGCAUUUGAAACUGGGUAUCUAGAGUGCGGGAGAGGAAAGUGGAAUUCCUAGUGUAGCGGUGAAAUGCGUAGAGAUUAGGAAGAACACCAGUGGCGAAGGCGACUUUCUGGACCGUAACUGACGCUGAGGCAUGAAAGCGUGGGGAGCAAACA
rnacentral:rRNA from 1 species